AAUAAGUACAGUUUUAUACUAUUCAUAUCCAAUGUUUGAUCAUCUUAUUUAAAAAAUUUUAUGAUUAAUAUUUUUAUUGUUAUUAGAUGAUAACACAUGAAUAUUACUUUAUGUGUGACUAAUUUUUUUUUGAAAAAAAUCAUAAAAUUUCCAAAUAAGAUGGACGGUCAAAUGUUGGAUACGCAUACCAACGCUGUAUUUAUU
rnacentral:pre_miRNA from 1 species